rnacentral:rRNA from 1 species
GACGAACGCUGGCGGCGUGCUUAACACAUGCAAGUCGAGCGAUGAAACUUCCUUCGGGAAGUGGAUUAGCGGCGGACGGGUGAGUAACACGUGAGUAACCUGCCUCAAAGAGGGGGAUAGCCUUCCGAAAGGAAGAUUAAUACCGCAUAAUAUACAGAGAUCACAUGUUCUCUGUAUCAAAGGAGCAAUCCGCUUUGAGAUGGACUCGCGGCGC